AGUUCGAUCCUGGCUCCGUUGAACGCUGGCGGGAUGCUUUACACAUACCGUCGAACGGCAGCACGGACUUCGGUCUGGUGGCGAGUGGCGAACGGGUGGUAAUGUAUCGGAACGUGCCUAGUAGCGGGGGAUAACUACGCGAAAGCGCCAACUAAUACCGCAUACGCCCUUCGGGGAAAAGCGGGGGACCUUCGGGCCUCGCACUAUUAGGCAGCCGUUAUCGGUUAGCUAGUUGGUGGGGUAACGGCUCACCAAGGCGACGAUCCGUAGCUGGUUUGAGAGGACGACCAGCCACACUGGGCUGAGACA
rnacentral:misc_RNA from 1 species